UCCCUAGUGGUCCAGUGGUUAGGACUCUGCACUCUCACUGCAGGGGGGCUGGGUUCAAUUCCUGGUCAGGGAU